UUAAGCGACCAAGCGUACACGGUGGAUGCCCUGGCAGUCAGAGGCGAUGAAGGACGUGCUAAUCUGCGAAAAGCGCCGGUAAGGUGAUAUGAACCGUUAUAACCGGCGAUGUCCGAAUGGGGAAACCCAGUGUGACUCGUCACACUAUCAUUAACUGAAUCCAUAGGUUAAUGAGGCGAACCGGGGGAACUGAAACAUCUAAGUACCCCGAGGAAAAGAAAUCAACCGAGAUUCCCCCCAGUAGCGGCGAGCGAACGGGGAGGAGCCCAGAGCCUGAAUCAGCAUGUGUGUUAGUGGAAGCGUCUGGAAAGGCGCGCGAUACAGGGUGAGAGCCCCGUACACAAAAGCGCAUAUGCUGUGAGCUCGAUGAGUAGGGCGGGACACGUGGUAUCCUGUCUGAAUAUGGGGGGGACCAUCCUCCAAGGCUAAAUACUCCUGACUGACCGAUAGUGAACCAGUACCGUGAGGGAAAGGCGAAAAGAACCCCGGCGAGGGGAGUGAAACAGAACCUGAAACCGUGUACGUACAAGCAGUGGGAGCCCCACCACUAAGCCAGUGGUGAACUCCACAUACGCAUCCUUUGCGGAAGAUGCGGUUAACGGCGCGCAAGCGACGUUCAACCUCAAAAGAAGCAGAGGGGGCUUAGUGGUGGGGUGACUGCGUACCUUUUGUAUAAUGGGUCAGCGACUUAUAUUCUGUAGCAAGGUUAACCGCAUAGGGGAGCCGAAGGGAAACCGAGUCUUAAUUGGGCGUUAAGUUGCAGGGUAUAGACCCGAAACCCGGUGAUCUAGCCAUGGGCAGGUUGAAGGUUGGGUAACACUAACUGGAGGACCGAACCGACUAAUGUUGAAAAAUUAGCGGAUGACCUGUGGCUGGGGGUGAAAGGCCAAUCAAACCGGGAGAUAGCUGGUUCUCCCCGAAAGCUAUUUAGGUAGCGCCUCGUGAAUUCAUCUCCGGGGGUAGAGCACUGUUUCGGCUAGGGGGCCAUCCCGGCUUACCAACCCGAUGCAAACUGCGAAUACCGGAGAAUGUUAUCACGGGAGACACACGGCGGGUGCUAACGUCCGUCGUGAAGAGGGAAACAACCCAGACCGCCAGCUAAGGUCCCAAAGUCAUGGUUAAGUGGGAAACGAUGUGGGAAGGCCCAGACAGCCAGGAUGUUGGCUUAGAAGCAGCCAUCAUUUAAAGAAAGCGUAAUAGCUCACUGGUCGAGUCGGCCUGCGCGGAAGAUGUAACGGGGCUAAACCAUGCACCGAAGCUGCGGCAGCGACACUGUGUGUUGUUGGGUAGGGGAGCGUUCUGUAAGCCGUUGAAGGUGUGUCGUGAGGCAUGCUGGAGGUAUCAGAAGUGCGAAUGCUGACAUAAGUAACGAUAAAGCGGGUGAAAAGCCCGCUCGCCGGAAGACCAAGGGUUCCUGUCCAACGUUAAUCGGGGCAGGGUGAGUCGACCCCUAAGGCGAGGCCGAAAGGCGUAGUCGAUGGGAAACGGGUUAAUAUUCCCGUACUUGGUGUUACUGCGAAGGGGGGACGGAGAAGGCUAUGUUGGCCGGGCGACGGUAGUCCCGGUUUAAGCGUGUAGGUGUGUGUUCCAGGUAAAUCCGGUUCACUUUAACACUGAGGCGUGAUGACGAGGCACCACGGUGCUGAAGCAACAAAUGCCCUGCUUCCAGGAAAAGCCUCUAAGCAUCAGGUAACAUCAAAUCGUACCCCAAACCGACACAGGUGGUCAGGUAGAGAAUACCAAGGCGCUUGAGAGAACUCGGGUGAAGGAACUAGGCAAAAUGGUGCCGUAACUUCGGGAGAAGGCACGCUGACACGUAGGUGAAGUGAUUUACUCAUGGAGCUGAAGUCAGUCGAAGAUACCAGCUGGCUGCAACUGUUUAUUAAAAACACAGCACUGUGCAAACACGAAAGUGGACGUAUACGGUGUGACGCCUGCCCGGUGCCGGAAGGUUAAUUGAUGGGGUCAGCGCAAGCGAAGCUCCUGAUCGAAGCCCCGGUAAACGGCGGCCGUAACUAUAACGGUCCUAAGGUAGCGAAAUUCCUUGUCGGGUAAGUUCCGACCUGCACGAAUGGCGUAAUGAUGGCCAGGCUGUCUCCACCCGAGACUCAGUGAAAUUGAACUCGCUGUGAAGAUGCAGUGUACCCGCGGCAAGACGGAAAGACCCCGUGAACCUUUACUAUAGCUUGACACUGAACAUUGAGCCUUGAUGUGUAGGAUAGGUGGGAGGCUUUGAAGCGUGGACGCCAGUCUGCGUGGAGCCGACCUUGAAAUACCACCCUUUAAUGUUUGAUGUUCUAACGUGGACCCGUAAUCCGGGUUGCGGACAGUGUCUGGUGGGUAGUUUGACUGGGGCGGUCUCCUCCUAAAGAGUAACGGAGGAGCACGAAGGUUGGCUAAUCCUGGUCGGACAUCAGGAGGUUAGUGCAAUGGCAUAAGCCAGCUUGACUGCGAGCGUGACGGCGCGAGCAGGUGCGAAAGCAGGUCAUAGUGAUCCGGUGGUUCUGAAUGGAAGGGCCAUCGCUCAACGGAUAAAAGGUACUCCGGGGAUAACAGGCUGAUACCGCCCAAGAGUUCAUAUCGACGGCGGUGUUUGGCACCUCGAUGUCGGCUCAUCACAUCCUGGGGCUGAAGUAGGUCCCAAGGGUAUGGCUGUUCGCCAUUUAAAGUGGUACGCGAGCUGGGUUUAGAACGUCGUGAGACAGUUCGGUCCCUAUCUGCCGUGGGCGCUGGAAGACUGAGGGGGGCUGCUCCUAGUACGAGAGGACCGGAGUGGACGCAUCACUGGUGUUCGGGUUGUCAUGCCAAUGGCACUGCCCGGUAGCUAAAUGCGGAAAAGAUAAGUGCUGAAAGCAUCUAAGCACGAAACUUGCCCCGAGAUGAGUCUUCCCUGAGACCUUGAGUCUCCUGAAGGAACGUUAAAGACGAUGACGUUGAUAGGCCGGGUGUGUAAGCGCAGCGAUGCGUUGAGCUAACCGGUACUAAUGAACCGUGAGGCUUAACCUU
rnacentral:rRNA from 1 species